AAUGCGACGCUUGCGUGUCAUAAAGCGUACACAUUCCUGGCGCAGCUCAUAGUGCAGAUGCUGGGUGUCGUACAUCUGCUCGGCAAUCACACGGAACAAGCUGGAGGCGUCGCGGGCCGUGUGCUUGCGAUAGAGACCGUGACAUUCCAGAUAUUGGUCAAAUGGAUCUGGUGCCUGGCGGCUGCCCGAGAACAACCCACUGGAAUCGGAAGGCGAAAAAUACUCAAAACGUUGCAAGCAACUAAAAUUCCACAAUUCCACACAGGCAACGGUGCUUUGCCUCGCAAUUCCAGCGUAUAAGUGCGCUAAAAAGAGACGACGAUAUGUACCAUCGUCAAUGUAUACACAUUUUCAACAUGGCGCCGGUGCACAAAGCAAAGACAAAUGGAGAUCAUCAAAAAAUGUUAUACUUGACGCCAAAUUGUAUUAACAGGGGCAAUUAAUUACAAACUGCGAUACCGGUCGAAAAAACACAAAAAACUAACUAAAUAUAAAAUGAACUAGCCGGAAUAAGAAUAACUAGCUGGCACACACGUAGGGAGAGUGGGCAAAAAAAUAUAUGUAACGAAAAUGUUAAAAAAAUUACACGAAACAA